rnacentral:rRNA from 1 species
GAUGAACGCUGGCGGCGUGCCUAAUACAUGCAAGUCGAGCGAACAGAUAAGGAGCUUGCUCCUUUGACGUUAGCGGCGGACGGGUGAGCAACACGUGGGUAACCUACCUAUAAGACUGGAAUAACUCCGGGAAACCGGGGCUAAUGCCGGAUAACAUUUAGAACCGCAUGGUUCUAAAGUGAAAGAUGGUUUUGCUAUCACUUAUAGAUGGACCCGCGCCGUAUUAGCUAGUUGGUAAGGUAACGGCUUACCAAGGCAACGAUACGUAGCCGACCUGAGAGGGGGAUCGGCCACACUGGAACUGAGACACGGUCCAGACUCCUACGGGAGGCAGCAGUAGGGAAUCUUCCGCAAUGGGCGAAAGCCUGACGGAGCAACGCCGCGUGAGUGAUGAAGGUCUUCGGAUCGUAAAACGCUGUUAUUAGGGAAGAACAAAUGUGUAAGUAACUGUGCACGUCUUGACGGUACCUAAUCAGAAAGCCACGGCUAACUACGU